GUAGGGAAUAUUGCGCAAUGGACGAAAGUCUGACGCAGCGACGCCGCGUGAGUGAUGAAGGCCUUAGGGUCGUAAAGCUCUGUUGAAUGGGAAGAAAAAAAUGACGGUACCAUUCGAGGAAGGACCGGCUAACUUCGUGCCAGCAGCCGCGGUAAUACGAGGGGUCCUAGCGUUGUUCGGAAUCAUUGGGCGUAAAGGGUGUGUAGGUGGCCAUGUAAGUCAGGUGUGAAAGCCCCGGGCUCAACCCGGGGAGUGCACUUGAUACUGCGUGGCUUGAGUACCGAAGAGGGUAGUGGAAUUCCAGGUGUAGUGGUGAAAUACGUAGAUAUCUGGAGGAACACCGGUGGCGAAGGCGGCUACCUGGUCGAGUACUGACACUGAGACACGAAAGCAUGGGGAUCAAACAGGAUUAGAUACCCGGGUAGUCC
rnacentral:rRNA from 1 species